rnacentral:rRNA from 1 species
GAUGAACGCUGGCGGCGUGCCUAAUACAUGCAAGUCGAGCGAACUUUUGGGAGCUUGCCCCCUAUAGUUAGCGGCGGACGGGUGAGUAACACGCGGGUAACCUGCCUGUAAGACUGGGAUAACUUCGGGAAACCGGAGCUAAUACCGCAUAACAUUGAUGACAACAUGGCGUUCAAUUAAGAGGUGGCUUUUAGCUGUCACUUACAGAUGGACCCGCGGCGCAUUAGCUAGUUGGUGAGGUAACGGCUUACCAAGGCGACGAUGCAUAGCCGACCUGAGAGGGUGAUCCGCCCACCCUGGACUGGAGCCCCGCCCAGACUCCCUCGGGGGGCCACCGUAGGGGAUCUUCCCGAAUGGGCGGAAGGCUUACGGGAGCACGCCGCGUGGGCGAAGGAGGCCUUCGGGUCGGUAGGCUCUGUUGUUAGGGAAGAACAAGUAUCGUACGAAUAGGGCGGUACCUUGACGGUACCUAACCAGAAAGCCACGGCUAACUACGUG